ACGGAAGGCAGCAGUGAGGAAUAUUGGUCAAUGGAGGCAACUCUGAACCAGCCAUCUCGCGUGAAGGAAUACGGCCCUACGGGUCUUAAACUUCUUUUAUAGGGGGAUAAAGUGAGCCACGUGUGGCUUUUUGUAGGUACCCUAUGAAUAAGCAUCGGCUAACUCCGUGCCAGCAGCCGCGGUAAUACGGAGGAUGCGAGCGUUAUCCGGAUUUAUUGGGUUUAAAGGGUGCGCAGGCGGCACGUUAAGUCAGCGGUGAAAUGUCGGGGCUCAACCCGGGCACUGCCGUUGAAACUGGCGAGCUUGAGUACGGAUGAAGUUGGCGGAAUGUGAUGUGUAGCGGUGAAAUGCUUAGAUAUGUCACAGAACACCGAUUGCGAAGGCAGCUGACUGAUCCGCAACUGACGCUCAGGCACGAAAGCGUGGGGAUCGAACAGGAUUAGAUACCCUGGUA
rnacentral:rRNA from 1 species